CCUCUGGCUCAUGACCUCAGAUUCAAAGCAAUUACAAGCUAGGCUGUGUGUGUAGUACAGCAGAACAAACCAGAGCCGCUACAUUAGACUGCAGAAAUAGUUCAGCACAAUUCCCCUGGCUGUAGCACCGGCCGCCUCAGCCUGAACCUGAUAACACGCAUUCCAGCUGCCAGCGACGAUAACUGUGAUGCAAAUGCAUUUUCAGCAACCUCCACUCUACCCCAGUUCUGUGACCUUCAGCAGGAGCUGGCCAGGGGCCUGGGGACUGUGGGCCUGAACUUGAAGCAAACAACACAGAACCACAUCUGAAUCCAGACUCCACCCC